rnacentral:ncRNA from 1 species
CACUUUUGCCGCGGGAGCUUUGUGAUGUGGGUAAUGGCUGAGAAAUUAAUGGAGUCGAAAGAUUCUUUGUUGACCGUUCGAACCUGAACAUGGUAAUGCAUGCGAAAGGGAAGGCAAAAGUAUUAUGAA